rnacentral:rRNA from 1 species
ACUUACUUGGAUAACUGUGGUAAUUCUAGAGCUAAUACAUGCAAACAGAACUCCGACCAGAGAUGGAAGGAGUGCUUUUAUUAGAUCAAAACCAAUCGGUGGCGGGCUUGCUCGUCAUCGUACAACUUGGUGACUCUGAAUAACUUUACGCUGAUCGCACGGUCCUAGCACCGGCGACGCAUCUUUCAAAUGUCUGCCUUAUCAACUGUCGAUGGUAGGUUCUGCGCCUACCAUGGUUGUAACGGGUAACGGGGAAUCAGGGUUCGAUUCCGGAGAGGGAGCCUGAGAAACGGCUACCACAUCCAAGGAAGGCAGCAGGCGCGCAAAUUACCCACUCCCGGCACGGGGAGGUAGUGACGAAAAAUAACGAUACGGGACUCAUCCGAGGCCCCGUAAUCGGAAUGAGUACACUCUAAACCCUUUAACGAGGAUCAAUUGGAGGGCAAGUCUGGUGCCAGCAGCCGCGGUAAUUCCAGCUCCAAUAGCGUAUAUUAAAGUUGUUGCGGUUAAAAAGCUCGUAGUCGAAUUUGUGUCUCUUGCCGCCGGUUUAUCGUUCGCGGUAUUACUGGCGAGUCACGAGACGUCCUGCCGGUGGGCUUAGCUCGCAAGGGCGGCCCAACUCAAUCCUGCCGCGGUGCUCUUCAUUGAGUGUCGAGGUGGGCCGGCACGUUUACUUUGAACAAAUUAGAGUGCUUAAAGCAGGCUAAAACUUCGCCUGAAUACUGUGUGCAUGGAAUAAUGGAAUAGGACCUCGGUUCUAUUUUGUUGGUUUUCGGAACCCCGAGGUAAUGAUUAAUAGGAACGGAUGGGGGCAUUCGUAUUGCGACGUUAGAGGUGAAAUUCUUGGAUCGUCGCAAGACGGACAGAAGCGAAAGCAUUUGCCAAAAACGCUUUCAUUGAUCAAGAACGAAAGUUAGAGGUUCGAAGGCGAUCAGAUACCGCCCUAGUUCUAACCUUAAACGAUGCCAGCUAGCGAUCCGUCGACGUUCCUCCGAUGACUCGACGGGCAGCUUCCGGGAAACCAAAGCUUUUGGGUUCCGGGGGAAGUAUGGUUGCAAAGCUGAAACUUAAAGGAAUUGACGGAAGGGCACCACCAGGAGUGGAGCCUGCGGCUUAAUUUGACUCAACACGGGAAAUCUCACCAGGCCCGGACACCGGAAGGAUUGACAGAUUGAGAGCUCUUUCUUGAUUCGGUGGGUGGUGGUGCAUGGUCGUUCUUAGUUGGUGGAGCGAUUUGUCUGGUUAAUUCCGAUAACGAACGAGACUCUAGCCUGCUAAAUAGGCGUAUUUUGACAUCCUAAAGGCCCGCCGGCUUGGGGUUCGCUCCUUGUCGUGCGCGGUUUUUACUGUCGGCGUACAAACAAUUCUUCUUAGAGGGACAGGUGGCUUCUAGUCGCACGAGAUUGAGCAAUAACAGAUCUGUAAUGCCCUUAGAUGUUCUGGGCCGCACGCGCGCUACACUGAAGGAAUCAGCGUGUCCUCCCUGGCCGAGUGGCCCGGGUAACCCGCUGAACCUCCUUCGUGCUAGG